GAUGAACGCUGGCGGCGUGCCUAAUACAUGCAAGUCGAGCGAAGCGGGGACGGGUGAGUAACACGUGGAUAACCUCCUAUAAGACUGGGAAAACCUCGGGAAACCGGAGACAAACCCGUAAAUUACCGAUGGAUCAGCGGUGCAUUAGCUAGUGUGUAAGGUAACGGCCUACCAAGGCCACGAGGCAUAGCCGUCCUGAGAGGGUGAUCUUCCACUCUGGAACGGAGACACGUUCCAGACUCCUACGGGAGGCAGCAGUAGGGAAUCUUCCGCAAUGGGCGAAAGCCUGACGGAGCAACGCCGCGUGAGUGAUGAAGGUCUUCGGGUCGUAAAGCUCUGUAAUUAGGGAGGCGUUACCUACUCAGAAAGCCACGGCUAACUACGUGCCAGCAGCCGCGGUAAUAC
rnacentral:rRNA from 1 species